rnacentral:tRNA from 1 species
CGCGGGGUAGAGCAGCCCGGUAGCUCGUCGGGCUCAUAACCCGGAGGUCGUUGGUUCAAAUCCUUCCCCCGCAACCA